rnacentral:piRNA from 1 species
UAUGAAAUUUUGCAAUGCUGUUAACAUC